rnacentral:rRNA from 1 species
GACGAACGCUUGCGGCAGGCUUAACACAUGCAAGUCGAGCGAGCGGCGGAAGGGUGAGUAAUGUCUGGGAAACUGCCUGAUGGAGGGGGAUAACUACUGGAAACGGUAGCUAAUACCGCAUACCAUCAGCUGUGCCCAGAUGGGAUUAGCUAGUAGGUGGGGUAAUGGCUCACCUAGGCGACGAUCCCUCGCUGGUUUGAGAGGAUGACCAGCCACACUGGAACUGAGACACGGUCCAGACUCCUACGGGAGGCAGCAGUGGGGAAUAUUGCACAAGGGUCGCAAGCCUGAUGCAGCCAUGCCGCGUGUGUGAAGAAGGCCUUCGGGUUGUAAAGCACUUUCAGCGAGGAGGCGUUACUCGCAGAAGAAGCACCGUCUAACUCUGUGCCAGCAGCCGCGGUAAUUC